rnacentral:tRNA from 1 species
GUGGGUGUGGCUCAGUGGUAGAGCGCUCACCUAGCAUGUGCAAGGUGCUGGGUUCAAUCCUCAGCACCAUA